AGUCAUUAUGCGUCAGUUAGUGGUACCACAGAGGUACUGAUCCAAAUUACUCCGGAUAGCGCAUGAUAUACCGCUAUCCGGACACCUGAGAGUUAGUCGCACCCGGUAUUGAUUGACCCAGAGUUUCUUCUGGCCAGGGAUAAGUCAGGAGGCUUGCAGGUAUUGCUGUACCUGCAAUACCUGCCAGAGAGUAGGAAAAAGGGGAGACCGCAGGAAAGCCAAGUUGCACCCCCUACCUAUAGUGGAGGAGCCUAUUAGCCGCGUAGCGGUGGACAUAGUAGGUCCCUUAAGGAAGGCUAGCCCCUCGGGUAAGAAAUACAUAUUAACAGUGGUAGAUUAUGCUACCAGGUAUCCCGAGGCAGUAGCAUUAGCUAACAUUCAUGCAGAAACGGUG